rnacentral:rRNA from 1 species
GUGUUACUGACGCUCAUGCUCGAAGGCGCGGGUAUCGAACAGGAUUAGAUACCCUGGUAGUCCGCGCGGUAAACGAUGGAUGCCCGCUGUGCGCCCCUGAGGGUGCGCGGCCAAGCGAAAGCGUUAAGCAUCCCACCUGGGGAGUACGCCGGCAACGGUGAAACUCAAAGGAAUUGACGGGGGCCCGCACAAGCGGAGGAACAUGUGGUUUAAUUCGAUGAUACGCGAGGAACCUUACCCGGGCUUGAACUGCAGAGGAAGGAUCUGGAGACAGUGACGCCCUUCGGGGUCUCUGCGGAGGUGCUGCAUGGUUGUCGUCAGCUCGUGCCGUGAGGUGUCGGCUUAAGUGCCAUAACGAGCGCAACCCCUCUCCCCGGUUGCCAUCAGGUGAUGCUGGGCACUCCGUGGACACUGCCGCCGCAAGGUGGAGGAAGGUGGGGAUGACGUCAAAUCAGCACGGCCCUUACGUCCGGGGCUACACACGUGUUACAAUGGGGGGCACAGCGUGCCGGCGCUCCGCAAGGUGCGUCCAAUCAUGAAAUCCCCCCUCAGUUCGGACUGGGGUCUGCAACCCGACCCCACGAAGCUGGAUUCGCUAGU